UUUGCGUGUCUAGGAAGUGGAAGUGCAGAGACAGAUCAGAAGGCAAAUGUGUGUGUUCUGUUGUCUUCUGCAGAAUAAAUAAGUGCUGGGAAAAUCCACCAUCUGAGCCGACUUCUUCCAUGCCCGUUCCACAUCUGUAACAUCUGCUCUGAACCUCUUUCAUGUGAGGGUGAAACUCUUUUAUUUUGCAAACCUCUAAAACCCAACCCAAUGUUUCUUAAAGAAUUCUGCUCUGAACCUCUCAUGCCCAAAGUUACAGUGUGUUGAUAGUUGUUAUUGGACAGUGUUGAUGAGCACGCUGUGUUCUUGAAAUAAAGCUUUGGUUUUUACAAUAUUCUA